GACCGCCUGGGGAGUACGGCCGCAAGGUUAAAACUCAAAUGAAUUGACGGGGGCCCGCACAAGCGGUGGAGCAUGUGGUUUAAUUCGAUGCAACGCGAAGAACCUUACCUGGUCUUGACAUCCACGGAAGUUUUCAGAGAUGAGAAUGUGCCUUCGGGAACCGUGAGACAGGUGCUGCAUGGCUGUCGUCAGCUCGUGUUGUGAAAUGUUGGGUUAAGUCCCGCAACGAGCGCAACCC
rnacentral:rRNA from 1 species